rnacentral:rRNA from 1 species
AGAGUUUGAUCCUGGCUCAGAUUGAACGCUGGCGGAAUGCUUUACACAUGCAAGUCGAACGGCAGCACGGGAGCUUGCUCCUGGUGGCGAGUGGCGAACGGGUGAGUAAUAUAUCGGAACGUAUCCAAUAAUGGGGGAUAACAUAUCGAAAGAUGUGCUAAUACCGCAUACGCCCUGAGGGGGAAAGCGGAGGACCGUAAGGCUUCGCGUUAAUGGAGCGGCCGAUAUCGGAUUAGCUAGUUGGUGAGGUAAAGGCUCACCAAGGCGACGAUCCGUAGCUGGUCUGAGAGGACGACCAGCCACACUGGAACUGAGACACGGUCCAGACUCCUACGGGAGGCAGCAGUGGGGAAUUUUGGACAAUGGGCGCAAGCCUGAUCCAGCCAUUCCGCGUGAGUGAAGAAGGCCUUCGGGUUGUAAAGCUCUUUCGCAAGGGAAGAAAACUUACCCUCUAACAUAGGGUGAGGCUGACGGUACCUUGAUAAGAAGCACCGGCUAACUACGUGCCAGCAGCCGCGGUAAUACGUAGGGUGCGAGCGUUAAUCGGAAUUACUGGGCGUAAAGCGUGCGCAGGCGGUUUCGUAAGACAGAGGUGAAAUCCCCGGGCUCAACCUGGGAAUGGCCUUUGUGACUGCGAGGCUAGAGUGUGUCAGAGGGGGGUAGAAUUCCACGUGUAGCAGUGAAAUGCGUAGAGAUGUGGAGGAAUACCGAUGGCGAAGGCAGCCCCCUGGGAUAAUACUGACGCUCAUGCACGAAAGCGUGGGGAGCAAACAGGAUUAGAUACCCUGGUAGUCCACGCCCUAAACGAUGUCAACUAGUUGUUGGUAGAGUAAAAUCUAUGAGUAACGUAGCUAACGCGAGAAGUUGACCGCCUGGGGAGUACGGUCGCAAGAUUAAAACUCAAAGGAAUUGACGGGGACCCGCACAAGCGGUGGAUGAUGUGGAUUAAUUCGAUGCAACGCGAAAAACCUUACCUACCCUUGACAUGUACGGAACCCUGCUGAGAGGUGGGGGUGCUCGAAAGAGAGCCGUAACACAGGUGCUGCAUGGCUGUCGUCAGCUCGUGU